CUGCUCAACGGUUGCAAUGCGACGAAAACUAACAGCUUCUAUAGGCUUCUAGCCACGUUCUCUUGGAUUUUGAUUCGUGGAUUAGCAAACUAAAGCUUCUUUCUCGAGUUAUGGCUAGUUUGACUCACAUUGAAGGCUGUUGCAGAAUCUUUCAUAGCAUCAUCUGUCCGCACAAACUUUCUAUUCAACAUAUGAGUUAGCCUUGCACUAAAGCGCUAGCUUUUUGUUAGCUACAAUACUCAGAAAAUAUCUGUUAAAACAGCUAGCUAGCAGUUAGCCUCGAUUCCAGGCCGGUUCAAGCGGCCUGGAAUCGAGGCUAGCUAGUAGUCAUUUGUGAAAUUGAUCUCUUUGGACACACCCUUUAAUUAUUCCUGUGGAUGUAAUGCGCAUGCGCGCUCAUUCCCCACGUGUGUGAGAAAAUAAUAUCCAAGAUCCAGAUCCAGAUCCUCCUGGCAGAAUCAUCUUUGUCUUGAGGGCCUGGUCUUUUCUUCUUAGAUAUUAUAUACACUGAACUACAGAGAAUCAAUUUUCUUCUUUCUUGAUGUCCUGAGCUCAGCUUGCUGCAGAGAAGGGGAGGAGCUGGGAAGCCAAGGAAUGCAUUACUUCCCGAGCCCCACUCCUCACUGUCUGACUCGGAAGAGGAGAUAGAUUUUGGAUUCUGGGAGAAGGCGUCCACCCUACCCUCGGACAAGACCCCAACCAAGGACCUGAACUUGUUAUGAGACUGUUAUAUAUUAUUGUGUCUGUUUUUGUACGUACCACUUCAUGUCAUCAUAUUAACUAUGUACGAUGAAAUGUUGUUGC